rnacentral:rRNA from 1 species
CCUACGGGGUGCAGCAGUGAGGAAUAUUGGUCAAUGGACGAGAGUCUGAACCAGCCAAGUAGCGUGAAGGAUGACUGCCCUAUGGGUUGUAAACUUCUUUUAUAUGGGAAUAAAAUGUUCCACGUGUGGGAUUUUGUAUGUACCAUAUGAAUAAGGAUCGGCUAACUCCGUGCCAGCAGCCGCGGUAAUACGGAGGAUCCGAGCGUUAUCCGGAUUUAUUGGGUUUAAGGGGAGCGUAGGUGGAUUGUUAAGUCAGUUGUGAAAGUUUGCGGCUCAACCGUAAAAUUGCAGUUGAAACUGGCAGUCUUGAGUACAGUAGAGGUGGGCGGAAUUCGUGGUGUAGCGGUGAAAUGCUUAGAUAUCACGAAGAACUCCGAUUGCGAAGGCAGUUCACUGGACUGCAACUGACACUGAGGCUCGAAAGUGUGGGUAUCAAACAGGAUUAGAUACCCGAGUAGUC